rnacentral:ncRNA from 1 species
CAGUGUGACACGGGGUGCACCCAACGUGGUGCUGAGAUCAAACCCGUCGAACCUGCUCUAGCUCGACCUAGCGAAGGGAUGUCCCACAUGAAUACA